rnacentral:lncRNA from 1 species
GUGAUGUUAUGCUAUUGUUUCAGAAAAAGGGAGAAGGUUUGGAUCCAUUUAAACGUUUAAUCCCGCUGCAAAUGUUUGCACCUGUCCUAAGUCAGGAAUUUGAUGUACAGUAGUUGUUGUUUGUUUAUGUAAUUUAUACGUGUUUCUCGUUUCUCGUUUUUUUUUAAAUUUUAUAUAGAUUAAACCGUUGUUUUCCCCGUUUGAAUGGUUUUACACUAGUAAUUUUGGGGCCCUUUAUAGCUUGUUGUUCGGUGUGAGCCAAGGCUCCAUGUUGAAGGCCGUACAUUGACCUAUAAUGGUUAACUUUUUUUAAAAUUGUUAUUUGGAUGGAGAGUUGUCUCAUUGGCACUCACACCACAUCUUCC